rnacentral:rRNA from 1 species
CCUACGGGCGGCUGCAGUGGGGAAUAUUGCACAAUGGGCGCAAGCCUGAUGCAGCCAUGCCGCGUGUGUGAAGAAGGCCUUCGGGUUGUAAAGCACUUUCAGCGGGGAGGAGGGCGUUAAGGUUAAUAACCUUGUCGAUUGACGUUACCCGCAGAAGAAGCACCGGCUAACUCCGUGCCAGCAGCCGCGGUAAUACGGAGGGUGCAAGCGUUAAUCGGAAUUACUGGGCGUAAAGCGCACGCAGGCGGUCUGUCAAGUCGGAUGUGAAAUCCCCGGGCUCAACCUGGGAACUGCAUUCGAAACUGGCAGGCUAGAGUCUUGUAGAGGGGGGUAGAAUUCCAGGUGUAGCGGUGAAAUGCGUAGAGAUCUGGAGGAAUACCGGUGGCGAAGGGGACUCUUUGGUCUGUAACUGACGCUGAGGCGCGAAAGCGUGGGGAGCAAACAGGAUUAGAUACCCCGGUAGUC